GGAAAGUAAAGAAGGGCGCAUGGCGGAUGCCUUGGCUCUCGGAGGCGAUGAAGGACGUGAUAAGCUGCGAUAAGUUUUGGGGAGGUGCAAAUGACCUUUGAUCCAGAGAUUUCCGAAUGGGACAACCCAAUAUCUUGAAGAGGUAUUAUCCAACGUUGUUGGAGGCUAACGCAGGGAACUGAAACAUCUUAGUACCUGCAGGAAAAGAAAAUAAACAAUGAUUCCCCCAGUAGUGGCGAGCGAACGGGGAACAGCCCAAACCAUCCAUGUUACGGCAUGGGUGGGGUUGUAGGACUACGCCGUUGCAUGAAGACAUCAGAGAAGAACUUUCUGGAAAGAAAGACCAUAGAGCAUGACAGUUGCGUAUUCGAAUGUUGUCGAAGCAUAGUAGUAUCCUGAGUAGCGCGGAGCACGAGGAAUUCUGCGUGAAUCUGCCGGGACCAUCCGGUAAGGCUAAAUACUCCCGAGAGACCGAUAGCGAACCAGUACCGUGAGGGAAAGGUGAAAAGCACUUCGAACAGAAGAGUGAAAUAGUUCCUGAAACCGUGCGCCUACAAGCGGUCGGAGCUCGUUAAUGAGUGACGGCGUGCCUUUUGCAUAAUGAACCUACGAGUUGCCUUUGCCGGCAAGGUUAAGUGUGACGACACACGUAUCCGAAGCGAAAGCGAGUCUGAACAGGGCGUAUAGUCGGCAGUGGCAGACGCGAAACCAAGUGAUCCACCCUUGGCCAGGUUGAAGGCUGGGUAACACCAGCUGGAGGACCGCACCAAUAAGCGUUGAAAAGCUUCUGGAUGAGCUGAGGGUAGGGGUGAAAGGCUAAUCAAACUUGGAGAUAGCUCGUACUCCCCGAAAUGCAUUUAGGUGCAGCCUUGCGGGUUACUGAUGUGAGGUAGAGCGACUGAUAAGAUGCGAGGGCUUCACCGCCUAUCAAGUCUUGACAAACUCCGAAUGCGCAUCAGUUCUACCGCAGGAGUGAGGGCAUGGGUGCUAAGGUCCGUGCCCGAGAGGAGAAGAAUCCGGACCACCUGCUAAGGUCCCGAAAUGACAGCUAAGUUAAACUAACGAAGUCUGACUGCUAAGACAGCUAGGAUGUUGGCUUGGAAGCAGCCAUUCAUUUAAAGAGUGCGUAACAGCUCACUAGUCGAGGAGUCGGGCGUGGAUAAUAAUCGGGUAUCAAGUUGUCUACCGAAGCAGUGGGAUCAUUAAUAUGAUCGGUAGGGGAGCAUUCCAGUCAGCGUCGAAGGCGUACCGUGAGGUAUUCUGGAGCGUCUGGAAAAGCAAAUGUAGGUAUAAGUAACGAUAAAGGGGGCGGGAAACCCCCUCGCCGAAAGACUAAGGUUUCCUGAUCAACGCUAAUCGGAUCAGGGUCAGUCGGGUCCUAAGGCUCAGCCGAACGGCGAUGCCGAUGGCAGAAACGGUUAAUAUUCCGUUACUACCUUCAGGAGUGACGUGGAGACGCAGUAGUGACAGUGCCGCCAUCUGACGGAAUAGAUGGUUGAAGGGUGUAGGAGUCGAUCAUGGCAGGCAAAUCCACCAUGAGAUCCGAACCUGACAGUAUGCCGCGUCCUUCGGGACAAGGCAAUAGUGCGCGUAAGCAUGCUGCCGAGAAAAUCCGCUAAACUUAAUCCUGCAGGUACCCGUACCGCAAACGGACACACGUAGUCGGGAUGAAUAUUCUAAGGCGCUUGAGUGAUUCACGGUUAAGGAACUAGGCAAACUGACCCUGUAACUUCGGGAUAAAGGGUCCCUACCCUUUUAUGGGAGGGCGCAGAGAAUCGGUCCAGGCAACUGUUUAACAAAAACACAGGGCUGUGCCAAAUCGAAAGAUCCAGUAUACAGCCUGACACCUGCCCGGUGCUGGAAGGUUAAGAGGAGAUGUCAUCGAUAAGAGAAGCGUUGAAUUGAAGCCCCAGUAAACGGCGGCCGUAACUAUAACGGUCCUAAGGUAGCGAAAUUCCUUGUCGGGUAAGUUCCGACCUGCACGAAUGGUGUAAUGAUCUGGACGCUGUCUCAACCGUGAGCUCAGUGAAAUUGUAGUAUCGGUGAAGAUGCCGAUUACCCGCGAUGGGACGAAAAGACCCCGUGAACCUUUACUAUAGCUUAUCAUUGAAUCUGGGCACGUGAUGUGUAGGAUAGGUCGGAGGCUUUGAAGCAGGUACGCCAGUAUUUGUGGAGCCGCUGUUGAAAUACGACCCUUUAUUUGUUUGGAUUCUAACCCGUGGAUACGGGGACAUUGAUUGGUGGGUAGUUUGACUGGGGUGGUCGCCUCCAAAAGCGUAACGGAGGCUUCUAAAGGUGCCCUCCGGCCGAUUGGUAACCGGCCUUAGAGUGUAAUGGCAUAAGGGCGCUUGACUGGGAGACUGACAAGUCGAUCAGGUAGGAAACUAGAGCAUAGUGAUCCGGUGUUUCCGUAUGGAAGGGACAUCGCUCAAAGGAUAAAAGGUACUCCGGGGAUAACAGGCUGAUCCCUCCCAAGAGCUCAUAUCGACGGAGUGGUUUGGCACCUCGAUGUCGGCUCGUCACAUCCUGGGGCUGGAGAAGGUCCCAAGGGUUGGGCUGUUCGCCCAUUAAAGUGGCACGCGAGCUGGGUUCAGAACGUCGUGAGACAGUUCGGUCUCUAUCUAUCGUGGGCGUAUGAAAUUUGCGUGGCUCUGACACUAGUACGAGAGGACCGUGUUGGACAGACCUCUGGUUUGCCGGUUGUGCCGCCAGGUGCAUUGCCGGGUAUCUAAGUCUGGAUCGGAUAAGCGCUGAAAGCAUCUAAGC
rnacentral:rRNA from 2 species